AUCCAGCUGACGAGUCCCGAGCAGGACGAAAUACGUGUCUUGGAU
rnacentral:hammerhead_ribozyme from 1 species